rnacentral:rRNA from 1 species
AGCAGCCGCGGUAAUUCCAGCUCCAAUAGCGUAUAUUAAAGUUGUUGCAGUUAAAAAGCUCGUAGUUGAAUUUCGGGGUCAGUAGUUUGGUCGUGCCAAUGGUAUGUACUGGGCUCACUGAUUCCUCCUUCCUGAUGAACUGUAAUGCCAUUAAUUUGGUGUUGCAGGGAAACUGGACUGUUACUUUGAAAAAAUUAGAGUGUUUAAAGCAAGCUAACGCUUGAAUACAUUAGCAUGGAAUAAUGAAAUAGGACGUUCGAUCCUAUUUUGUUGGUUUCUAGGAUUGACGUAAUGAUUAAUAGGGAUAGUUGGGGGCAUUAGUAUUCAAUUGUCAGAGGUGAAAUUCUUGGAUUUAUUGAAGACUAACUACUGCGAAAGCAUUUGCCAAGGAUGUUUUCAUUAAUCAAGAACGAAAGUUAGGGGAUCGAAGACGAUCAGAUACCGUCGUAG